AAGUGCCACCUUCCCAAUUCUACCGAAGAGAAAGCUGUCUAAGUCACACAGCUGUCACAAAGCUGUCGCAAAUCUGUGUGCAGAGCAGUCCAUCCACACUGGUGUAGACAGGGACAUCUGGAUAGUGGUGGCAGGACCACAGGGGACACAGCUUUGCAGGCUUCAGCCAGAAGGAGGGAGAAGCUGCCCAGAACCAGAGGGCUACUCAGGUUGGCCGCUAGAAGCUACGGAGGGAGGAAAUAGUAAAAGAAACAACACCUAACCCGGAGCCACCGUGGAAUCUGAAGCUGCUGCCUUCCAGACAAUAGCACGUUUUGAACAGAGCUUGGCUCAAAGGAAGCUGCCCCUCCUGGUGUGGACGCUGUGCAAGUGGGGGAGCCGCUUUCACAAAAGAAGACAUUUAGGAUGUCCACCCUCUCAGUUCUGAGCAGGAAGAAAGCUCCGAGUGGGCUGAAGUAAGCAAGCAAGGGCGUGCCCUAAGAGCUGCAGCAUGCCCAGGAGAACUGGGGAUGGGAACGCAGCUGAAUCUAAAUGGACAAAGGAAAUACACAGAGGAUGUUAAUGGAGAUUUCAAUCUAAGAUGAAAUUUGAGUACAAGGAACAUUUCAAUAUAAUAUAUAUUUAAUUGAAAUGAACUGCUCACAUCUUAAACCAGAAAUGAUGUUGCAGUUCCACACAGGAUGAGAGCUACUCGACAAUCUUCCUUCCUCUCCCUCCGUGAUGUUCAUUUCAGAGAAGAUUGUUAACUCAAAUAUUUGUUGAAUUAAUGA